UAUAUCCUUGUGGAACUCGAGUUACAGCUCUCGUGAGAUAUAGUUUGUGGGAAAGAGAAGAAACAGCAGUGCUGCAGAUUCAUUUCAUCUUGUUCAUCAUAGCUGGAGAAAACAGGUAUGGAAAGGGCCACUUUUAAUCAUCAUUACCUCAAUGGUGGAUAAAUCCAAAACCAGAACUUGAAAAUCUGUUACCAACGUGAUAGAACAAAUGCAUAUUUAAAAUGCUCUUCUCAGAAAGUCCUUAGAGAAACACAGCCAUUAUCAGGACUAUUCUUCAUGCCUUUAUUGCGACCUUCAUUUACAGAGAUGAAGCAAAUGGAAAACUGAAGAUCACAAGAAGGUUCCUGAAUUAUAACAAUGUCUUUUCUGUUGAAGUGGAAUCAUUCACUCGAAAGACUGUCUUCAGGAAAAAAGAUUCAAGCAGACUUAAAAAUACAUUAAACAAUGUUAAUGGCUUGAAAUUAAUGGCUAGACAGCAUUCACUCCAUUACAUUUUUAGGUUGGUAGCAUCAAGAGGAAUUCAUAAAAGUAGACAUAUAUAAUGAACUACAUUUUGCCUGUCAAAAAUAAAAUGUAUUUGCAUUAACAAGUCAAAGAUGAUUGACUGAUGUCACCAUCCAUGUGGAUUAGCCACAGUAAAAAGGACGAUUCAGUCACACCACAUCAACAGCUGGUUAACGCUACUUAAAAUCUGAUUUACCGUAUCGAAAAUCAAAAUAAUCCCUAUUGCAAUCAUUAGGUUUUGGCUUUCACGCAGGACAUUACAGAGCUAUAUUGAUACUUUCCACAUCAUUGUGCACCUAGAAACAAUGCACUAGCAUCAAGGGGACAAGAUACGUUGAGAGUUAAUUUUGACUUGCAGUCUAACUCUUCUUACCACUCUUCCUUGAUCCUUGCACUUUCUACCCUAUUUUUUUUGGGUUGAAUAUUCCCUUUCAACUGUCACUACAUUUUUCUCCAGUUAAAAUCUUCAAUUUGGUUUUGUAUUCUCACUUUUACUCCCAAUUUGUUUUCCACUUAAUUUGCUUGCUUUCUUCUCUUUGGUCCUGCUGUUUCCAACUUAUUUUCUGUACAAUUUGAUUGUCUGCAUCUCCUGCACCUUAAUGCAUCUUACCAGGAUUAUUGGAUCACAAAACCCUUGGCAUGGCAAAACUGCACAUUUACAAAGCACAAAUAAACUCGCAAAAUUAUUAUAAAUGGAGAACUUAAAAACAACAAAGGUCCUGCAUAUCGAAAUAAAGGCUGGGAUUGACAAAAGAGGGAAGGCUCAUGACAGGAGCAAGAAAUACGAAUCUUCUCAAGAAGAAUGAUAGUUUACAGGAGGAGAUGGAGCAAGUUGAGGAAAUCAGAAGAUUUCUCAGAUAGAAGUCUCUAAAAUAGUGUAUGCAAAGAUGGAUGGGGUGUGCAUGCAUAGGUGGGUGAUGAAUGUGCCUGUGGGGGCAUCAAGAGGGAGCACAGAACUCAACCAGAUAUUUUUAUUUUAUCGUGGAACCUGCUUUGUUCUAAAUGGGCAUUUUCUGCGGCAGAAGUUUGAGAUUGCCAGUAUUAUAUGCUUUUGAUUGCUGCUUUAGUGAAUGUGAAAUUUGCGCCACAUUUGGAAUCUUACACACGCAACCUUUCAGAAGCAAAAUCUUUUUCUACAGAUGUGCGUGUCAAGAAAGAAAUUACCAAAGUGAUAAAUUAGUUUUGUUACAUAUUUAUAUAACAAAAUAGGCUGACUUAGGUAUUUUGUUAUAAAAAUGACAUUGGAGUUAAAAUCUACCACACAAAAAUUAGGGAAUUAUUGAAGCCUGAACACACACCUAAUGAGAGACUACCAGGCAGGACUGAAGCAGAUCAUGUUUUCCUUGAGCGAGAAAAUGCCUAUCAAUAUGAUAGCAAAUCCAAUCACAGCUUAAUGAUUUAUAUCAAAUUACAGGUUUUUGCCCUGGCCUUUUGUUGAGUUAACCAAUCACAGCCUAUAGGGUGCUGCAGUUGUCCUCUGCAAGUCUUUGUUGAGGGGAAUGACAGCCAGGGCAGCUGCUCGCUAUCUCCUGGUAAGAAUCUGCUGUGUUGGGUGCAUGGUGUGGGCAAGGACUGGAUCCAGCUAUGACAACCUUAUUUAAAUAUUCAAGCAGCAACAAUAAUGAAUAUCUGGAAAAGUUCAGAAGGUACCUGGUGCAUCCGAACAAGUAAUUGCUUCAGGAAACAAGGAAAGAAAAUUAGAGAGGAAUAAAGUUUCCCUACUCUUCAUUAAGAAAAAGCUCUCAAUUACAUAUUACACCAUGGAGCCUUCACCUACAAUUCCCCAUAUGAGAAAUCUUUGAUAUUAGUGGGAGCAUUUAGGACUUGAUUUGAAACCCAGUUCAGACUAAUGAAAUGGAAGUUUUUUUCCCCCUACUGCUUAUGAAAAUCGUCCAUGAAAUAAGUACGACCAUCUCAACUAUAGAUCUACACCAUGUCUUUCCUAAUUUAGCAUUAAAUGGCAGUAUUAGUGAAAUGCAAAUGGCCAGGUAGCCCCAACCUCUGACUAGCUUCUAUCAGAAUUGCCUGCAUUACCAGGGUCCGCAAGGUCAUCAGAUUUCUGUGUGCGCGUCAUAAUAACACUUUUUUUUUGUCAGUAAACACUAUGAAGUACAUUUGUAUAAUGAUAUCCAUAUUGUUCACAGAUGACAUGCUUCUGGAAGCUAGGUUUGGGGCUGGUGAUCCUUGGUUGUGUCAUUAUUUCCAAGAGGUCAAUAGAAUGGAAAAUUUUAAAACCACAGGAAUAGAAAAAGAUUCACUUCCUAUAAACUUGUGGGGAGGGGCGGGGUGGUCAUUUGUAAAUGAGACACCAAAGUGCCGAGAAUGGGAUUGUUUCUUUCAUUAAUUUUAAACACCUCCCACGUUUGUGAACAAAAAAAAUUACAUGAAAUACAUUGAUCAAGACAAUAUUUUCCAAAAACACCCAACAUCCUGAAUAUUGCCAAUUAUGAAUAUAUUUAAAUUCUGAGCAUCCUCUUGCCCUCAGACUCUGUGGAUCUCGACUACAUUGGGGAGCCGGUUUAUAUAGUCUCUAAGUAUUAUGUGAAACAAACUUCAAUGAAAUUUCAAGCUGUCCCCCAU